GACUGAUGGUGCGGAGCCGGGGCGAAGGGGAGUUUUAACUGAGCGUUCAGUUACUUGACGUAGACCCGAAACCGGGCGACCUACCCAUGAGCAGGCUGAAGCGAAAGUAAAAUUUCGUGGAGGUCCGAACCCACGAGCGUUGAAAAGCUCGGGGAUGACUUGUGGGUAGCGGUGAAAUUCCAAGCGAGCCCGGAGAUAGCUGGUUCUCCCCGAAAUAGCUUUAGGGCUAGCC
rnacentral:rRNA from 1 species